GUAGCUACAUCGUCUCGUGGCCCCCUCGGUCCAAAGAGAAGGCGGCACGACGGCCGACGGGAGUUCGUCGCUCCCCAAGGCUCCGGCGGCAAGCGAGGAGGGGAAGCUCGGCCGCCGACGCCGCAUCAGGAGACGGCUAGAUUUGUCAGUUUUUGCCAUCCUCCCUGGAAGGUACAGAUACAGAGCUACCGUACAAGAAUUUGCAGUCUUGCAAGGAGUAGCAUAGGAAUGGAUGAUGGCCAAGGAUACCAAGAAGAAGGAGAUGACCGUGAUUUGGUGCUGCAGAAACAAGAAUGGAUCAAAACACAGGACAUGCUCAAGAGUAAGCUUAUUCUUGAAGAUGAUUUUGUUUGGAGUUUACCCUCAGUUGGCUCAAGUUCAGGUGAAGAUGCAAGGGGCAAACUGAAGUAUAUUGGUGGGACUGACAUUAGCUUCUUAAAGGAGGACCCAUCCACAGCAUGUGCCGCGGUGGUAGUCCUGGAUGCCGAUACUUUAGAAGUUGUCCAUGAAGAGUUUGAUGUUGUUCGACUGCAAGUGCCAUAUAUUCCUGGAUUUCUUUCAUUCAGAGAGGCUCCAAUUCUUCUUGGACUCUUGGAUAAGGUGAAGAUCAAUGCACGUCAUUUCUACCCUCAGUUGCUCAUGUUUGAUGGAAAUGGAUUGCUCCAUCCGCGAGGUUUUGGUUUAGCUUGUCAUCUUGGUGUGCUUGCAGACCUUCCAACCAUUGGAGUUGGAAAAAAAUCUGCAUCAUGUGGAUGGCCUUAACCAAUCAAAAGUCAGAAGACGGCUUCUGUUGGAAGAAGACUGCAAUAACGAACUAAUUUUGUUGACUGGAGAGUCUGGGACAACAUGGGGCGCGGCGAUGCUUUCCAGCCCUGGUUCGUCAAAACCAGUCUACAUAUCAACUGGGCAUCGUGUUUCGCUUGAUUCAGCAACUGCCAUAGUGAAGAUGUGUUGUAAAUACUGUGUUCCUGAGCCAACGCAUCAGGUAGAAAGGAUUGGGCCUUACUGCUGAAGAAAGCUGAUAUAAGAUCAAAGGUGUUUCUGCAGAAGCUCCGAAAACCAGAGCAGUAACAAGACUUGGCAGUUGGCACAUCUGGAGCCGGCUCAUUUUGCUCGCUGAGUUGAAUUUUCAGAAUGAGAUGUGCUUGUCACUGCAACAUGAAACGAUUCCUGUACACCCGACAUGAUUGAUGGAUUGUCAUUUGUGACAUGAUUUCUGCUCAUUUCAGAAUGAAGUGUGUCUUACAUGAAACGAUUUCUGUACAUCUUGCUUUAACUAGUAUGAGUGCUAAUAAGUGCUAAAGUUGAGUGCUAAA